AAUUAUCAAAGGGAAGCAAAGAGGUUUCAAGAAUAAUUAAAGCCAGUCAAACUUUUGACUGUUGAUUUUUGUGUAAUCAAGAGUUUAGAGAAGAAGUUGCAGGUACAAGUUCUUGAUGUGCAUGGAAAUCAUAAGCAUCUGGAUGGGAGUUUUAGUACACGAGUACUUUCUUAUUUAAGUUAUCUUGAAUUUUAUAUUUGACUUUACUUGACCAAUGGGGUCAAGGUUUGACUUUUGAAUAUGGGACUAGUAUGGGAUAGUCUCGGAGUUUGUAAUUCAUUUACAUACUUUCUUAUUUCUGUUGUAUUAAAGUAUUUUCAGUUUAUAUUAAAAGACUUCCGCUGUAUUAUCUGAUUAGCCUUACGUAUUAUCAUGCGUGGCAUAACAACUCCCGCAAUUUCUCCUAGUUUAUAAA